ensembl:lncRNA
AAGGAGACAGGGAUUCUGGAGUGAUGGAGGUAGAUAUGUAUGUUAGGUGACAGAGAUACUGGAGUGAUGGAGGUAGAUAUGUAUAGAGGUAAGGGGACAGGGAUACUGGAGUGAUGGAGGUAGAUAUGUAUAGGGGUAAGGUGACAGGGAUACUGGAGUGAUGGAGGUAGAUAUGUAUAGGGGUAAGGUGACAGGGAUACUGGAGUGAUGGAGGUAGAUAUGUAUAGGGGUAAGGUGACAGGGAUACUGGAGUGAUGGAGGUAGAUAUGUAUAGGGGUAAGGUGACAGGGAUACUGGAGUGAUGGAGGUAGAUAGUGUAUGUAUAGCCGUAAGGUGACAGGGAUACUGGAGUGAUGGAGGUAGAUAUGUAUAGGGGUAAGGUGACAGGGAUACUGGAGUGAUGGAGGUAGAUAUGUAUAGGGGUAAGGUGACAGGGAUACUGGAGUGAUGGAGGUAGAUAUGUAUAGGGGUAAGGUGACAGGGAUACUGGAGUGAUGGAGGUAGAUAUGUAUAGCCGUAAGGUGACAGGGAUACUGGAGUGAUGGAGGUAGAUAUGAAUAGAGGUAAGGUGACUAGGCAACAAGAUAUAACAAACUGAGUAGCAGCAGCUUGUAUGUAAUAACAGCAGCUUGUAUGUAGAUGGAGUGAGUGAGUGUUAGAGUGACAGUGUUUGUGUGUUGGAGUGACAGUGUGUUAGUGUUGGGGAAAUUAUGAUUAAAUGACUGAACAAAUUAUUUUAAAUGGAACUGUAACUAAGUAAAACUUAUACUCUGUUUUAUUAUAUCUGAUUAACAAUAUGAGUUCAUAAGAAGGGAUUGUGUGACACGGACAAGGAGUAAUUAAAGUUAAUGAACACCAUUCCAACUACGCAGAAACGAAUGGGUUGGGGACUGUGUAAACACAUAAGGUCGUUAACCUAAUGUUGAACCUACAGAAACUUAGCUCUGGGGUUUUUAGAUAAGGCAGUGAGUGCAUUCCUAGGUUUUCUGUUAAUUAAAACUGUCAGUUCAGUGGUGAUCGAUAAUGUUGAGGGGUCAAAAGUUAUCUGGGAGUAUGUUAGUAAGUUAGAAUGAACUUUUCACCUCACUUUGUCCCGGUCGAGAGGAGGGGAUUCUGUUAAAGCAAUGAAAU